GUAACAAGGUCUCCGUUGGUGAACCAGCGGAGGGAUCAUUACAGAGUUACUACUCCAAACCCAUUGUGAACCUUACCUAUGUUCUGUUGCCUCGGCGGCGUCGGUCAGCGCCCCUCUGAAAAGAGGACGAUGCCCCUCCCGCCGGCAGCACCAAACUCUUGAAUUUUACAGCGGAUUACAGUUCUGAUUUGAAAACAAAAAACAAGUUAAAACUUUCAACAACGGAUCUCUUGGUUCUGGCAUCGAUGAAGAACGCAGCGAAAUGCGAUAAGUAAUGUGAAUUGCAGAAUUCAGUGAAUCAUCGAAUCUUUGAACGCACAUUGCGCCCGGCAGUAAUCUGCCGGGCAUGCCUGUCCGAGCGUCAUUUCAACCCUCGAACCUCCGUUUCCUUAGGGAAGCCUAGGGUCGGUGUUGGGGCGCUACGGCGAGUCCUCGCGACCCCCGUAGGCCCUGAAAUACAGUGGCGGUCCCGCCGCGGUUGCCUUCUGCGUAGUAAGUCUCUUUUGCAAGCUCGCAUUGGGUCCCGGCGGAGGCCUGCCGUCAAACCACCUAACAACUCCAGAUGGUUUGACCUCGGAUCAGGUAGGGUUACCCGCUGAACUUAAGCAUAUCAAUAAGCGGAGGAAAAGAAACCAACAGGGAUUGCCUCAGUAACGGCGAGUGAAGCGGCAACAGCUCA
rnacentral:misc_RNA from 1 species